rnacentral:rRNA from 1 species
GACGUAGGGCGCGAGCGUUGUCCGGAUUUAUUGGGCGUAAAGAGCUCGUAGGCGGCUUGUUGCGUCAGCUGUGAAAACCCGCAGCUCAACUGUGGGCUUGCAGCUGAUACGGGCAGGCUUGAGUUCGGUAGGGGAGACUGGAAUUCCUGGUGUAGCGGUGAAAUGCGCAGAUAUCAGGAGGAACACCGGUGGCGAAGGCGGCCCCCUGGGCUGCACCUGACGCUGAGACGCGAAGGCCAGGGGAGCGAACGGG